GCAUUAUCUCAGUUGGUGAGAGCAUGGUGCUGUUAACGCCAAGGUCACACGUUCAAUCCCCAUUCAGGCC